rnacentral:pre_miRNA from 1 species
UCUUACAGAUGAGCAAAAAAUAUGGUUUCUUGAGAUGUGAUCUAUACUUAGUGAAGAUGCUGUGAA